rnacentral:rRNA from 1 species
AACACAUGCAAGUCGAACGGAAACGAAACUAGCUUGCUAGUAGGCGUCGAGUGGCGGACGGGUGAGUAACGCGUAGGAAUCUGCCUGAUAGUGGGGGAUAGCCCGAAGAAAUUCGGAUUAAUACCGCAUAAUCUAUUCGUAGUAAAGUGGGGGACUUUCGAGCCUCACGCUAUCAGAUGAGCCUGCGUAAGAUUAGCUUGUUGGUAGGGUAAAAGCCUACCAAGGCAACGAUCUUUAGCUGGUCUGAGAGGAUGAUCAGCCACAUCGGGACUGAGACACGGCCCGAACUCCUACGGGAGGCAGCAGUGGGGAAUAUUGGACAAUGGGGGCAACCCUGAUCCAGCAAUACCGCGUGUGUGAAGAAGGCCUGAGGGUUGUAAAGCACUUUCAAUUGUGAAGAAAAGUUAACGGUUAAUAACCGUUGACCUUGACGUUAACUUUAGAAGAAGCACCGGCUAACUCCGUGCCAGCAGCCGCGGUAAUACGGAGGGUGCAAGCGUUAAUCGGAAUUACUGGGCGUAAAGCGUGCGUAGGCGGUUUAUUAAGUCAGAUGUGAAAGCCCCGGGCUUAACCUGGGAACUGCAUUUGAAACUGGUCAACUAGAGUAUGGUAGAGGAAAGUGGAAUUUCUGGUGUAGCGGUGAAAUGCGUAGAUAUCAGAAGGAACAUCAAUGGCGAAGGCAGCUUUCUGGACCAAUACUGACGCUGAGGUACGAAAGCGUGGGUAGCAAACAGGAUUAGAUACCCUGGUAGUCCACGCCGUAAACGAUGAUAACUAGCCGUUGGGGGGAUUUACCCCUUAGUGGCGAAGCUAACGCGUUAAGUUAUCCGCCUGGGGAGUACGGCCGCAAGGCUAAAACUCAAAGGAAUUGACGGGGACCCGCACAAGCGGUGGAGCAUGUGUUUAAUUCGAUGCAACGCGAAGAACCUUACCUGGUCUUGACAUCCUGCGAACUUUCUAGAAAUAGAUUGUGCCUUCGGGACGCAGUGACAGGUGCUGCAUGCUGUCGUCAGCUCGUGUCGUGAGAUGUGGAUAGUCCCGUACGAGCGCACCCCUAUCUUAUUUGCAGCACAUAUGGUGACUAUAGAGACUGCGGUGAUAACCGGAGAGCGGACGACGUCAGUCAUCAUGGUCUUACGAACAGGCUACCACGUGCUACAAUGGAAGAACAAAGGCCGCGAACGCCCAAGGGUACUAUCUCUAACCUUUUCCUGAAUCCGCAAUUGAGAUUUUGAAAAUUCGAACUCCACCGA